rnacentral:rRNA from 1 species
UACGGAGGGGGCUAGCGUUGUUCGGAAUUACUGGGCGUAAAGCGCACGUAGGCGGCUUUGUAAGUUAGAGGUGAAAGCCCGGGGCUCAACUCCGGAAUUGCCUUUAAGACUGCAUCGCUAGAAUUGUGGAGAGGUAAGUGGAAUUCCGAGUGUAGAGGUGAGAUUCGUAGAUAUUCGGAAGAACACCAGUGGCGAAGGCGACUCACUGGCCCGAUACUGACGCUGAGGCGCGAAAGCGUGGGGAGCAAACAGG